UACAGAGGUCCCCGAGCGUUGUUCGGAUUCACUGGGCGUAAAGGGUGCGUAGGUGGUGGUGUAAGUUUGAUGUGAAAUCUCCGGGCUUAACCCGGAAAUGGCAUUGAAUACUACAUUGCUGGAGGAUUGGAGGGGGGACUGGAAUUCUCGGUGUAGCAGUGAAAUGCGUAGAUAUCGAGAGGAACACCAGUGGCGAAGGCGAGUCCCUGGACAAUACCUGACACUGAGGCACGAAAGCUAGGGGAGCAAACAGGAUUAGAAACCCUUGUAGU
rnacentral:rRNA from 1 species